rnacentral:rRNA from 1 species
UACGGAGGGUGCAAGCGUUACCCGGAUUCACUGGGUUUAAAGGGUGCGUAGGAGGGCAGGUAAGUCAGUGGUGAAAUCCCCGAGCUUAACUUGGGAACUGCCGUUGAUACUAUCUGUCUUGAAUGUUGUGGAGGUAAGCGGAAUAUGUCAUGUAGCGGUGAAAUGCUUAGAUAUGACAUAGAACACCAAUUGCGAAGGCAGCUUGCUACACAAUUAUUGACUCUGAUGCACGAAAGCGUGGGGAUCAAACAGG